rnacentral:rRNA from 1 species
AACAGCUCAAAUUUGAAAUCUGGCUUCGGCCCGAGUUGUAAUUUGUAGAGGAUGCUUUGGGCGCGGCUCCAACUGAGUUCCCUGGAACGGGACGCCACAGAGGGUGAGAGCCCCGUAUAGUUGGAUGCCUAGCCUAUGUAAAGCUCCUUCGACGAGUCGAGUAGUUUGGGAAUGCUGCUCUAAAUGGGAGGUAAAUUUCUUCUAAAGCUAAAUAUUGGCCAGAGACCGAUAGCGCACAAGUAGAGUGAUCGAAAGAUGAAAAGCACUUUGAAAAGAGGGUUAAAUAGCACGUGAAAUUGUUGAAAGGGAAGCGCUUGUGACCAGACUUGCGCCUGGCGGAUCAUCCGGUGUUCUCACCGGUGCACUCCGCCAGGCACAGGCCAGCAUCGGUUCUCGUGGGGGGAUAAAGGUCCCGGGAACGUAGCUCCUUCGGGAGUGUUAUAGCCCGGGGCGUAAUGCCCUCGCGGGGACCGAGGUUCGCGCAUCUGCAAGGAUGCUGGCGUAAUGGUCAUCAGCGACCCGUCUUGAAACACGGACCAAGGAGUCAAGGUUUUGCGCGAGUGUUUGGGUGUAAAACCCGCACGCGUAAUGAAAGUGAACGUAGGUGAGAGCUUCGGCGCAUCAUCGACCGAUCCUGAUGUAUUCGGAUGGAUUUGAGUAAGAGCGUUAAGCCUUGGACCCGAAAGAUGGUGAACUAUGCUUGGAUAGGGUGAAGCCAGAGGAAACUCUGGUGGAGGCUCGCAGCGGUUCUAACGUGCAAGUCGAUCGUCAAAU